CUUGCAUAAAAAUAAUAUUUGCAAGUAGUGUAUACUUUUUUAUUUUCCCCUUUGGGAGUUGAAGGGUUGGGUAAAUGCUUGUAAUUUGCUUCGUAUUUGCAGAAAGCUUAAUACGGGUGAGUGAAUAUGCAUUAUUUUUUGUUUUGAAAUUUGGAACUUGAAAUAAUUUGAUGUCAUUCUUAUUUGCUAUUGGAAUAAUUCCAAUGAAGUUAAAGAAUAGGGAAAUAUCAUUAACUUGGCAGGAUUAUUGUGUAUAUAAAUGGUAGUGGUGUGAGUAGAUCUACUUGAAUAGGUAAAUUGUUUAUCUAGAAGCAGACGAAUAAAUAUGUAAUGUCCUAAUGCUAUAUCUGUCACCACCUUCUCAGUAUUUUGUUUGGCUGCUAAAAUAGUUCAGGAGGACUAAUUGUGAAUUGUACCCAUAUCUUGGAUUCUAUUUUCGAAUUAUAGUCCUUUGAUGAGCUAAAAAGUUUAAAGACUAGAAAAUUCACUACAGCAUUUUUUAGGAUCUCAGCCUUGAUACUAUUGGAGUAUUGAUCAAAGCACGGGUCAUACUCAUUUAUGUGCCUUUCUUUUAAUUACCUCAACUUUCUUGCCUUUUUUUAAUAGCUCCUGACGAUUUUAAGGUUUUCUUUUGAGUUCUUUAAAGCAAGCAUGACUCUGUAAACCAGAAAAGGAAAUUUUUGAAAUUUUUAUAGAAGACACCAAGUGAAACCAAAUUGCCUUGCUUCUUACAACUUAAUGCGAUAAACCCCUCAAGUGAAGUUGCACCUUUUUAAUUUUAGUAGGACUAAUGAUCUUUUUAUGCCUUUCACAUUUCUAAUCCCAAAGUAGGUUCUUAUUUUCAUUAAAAUCUUAUAUUAUUUAAGUGGGUUCUUAUUUUCAUUAAAAUCUUAUAUUAUUUAACAGAUUUUUAGAUGUCUUCAUUUUUGUUCAUUGAUUCAUACAACUUAAAGUGCUGAUGCUUACACAAAGGCUUUUAGAGGCAAACACCUUGAUAUUAAUUUAAACUUUUGAACAUGUGCAAUCACUACUUAAUGUAGUUGGACUUAAAAGCUAGAUACUACCUUUCAAGAUAGUAUCUUGUCGUGUCAAGCACUUGUAUAGUUGUAUUUUGCAUAGAUGUCUUGUUACUCAUUUCAAUUAUAGAGCCAACGAAAAUGCUCCAUCAUCGAAAUCAAUUAGAAGGACAUAACGGUCAAGACCCGAAGGGAUCAAUCUCUAGCUUAGAAAUCCUUCUAUAUACUAACCGAAAGAUGAAUACAUGAAAAAUAUCCUGAGUGUUUCAUAUCAUAGGCUUUCGAAAACAAUCUAGUUUUCUUGUAAAUAAUGUGCAGAAUGCUACAUGUGGUAGAAAGGUAGUGUUUCCAAUAACCAUCCUUUACGAGAUUAGCUGGAAAUAGAUUCAUUUUAUGUGGAUUGUAAGAGCAUUCCAAUGUAUUACAUAGCUUGUAGUCUAAUUGACACUUAAUUGUGGGAGUGAAGAUUUAUGAAUGUUUGAAAUUCCUAAUUCUCUAAUGUGGGAUGAAUGGUAACUGGCAGUUUUAGGUGCUUACGUGAAUUUACAAAUAUUAUUUAUUUUUACUUAAAAACCCGUUUGCUUACUUUUGAAGAGCCAUUUUGAGUUGAUAACUAGAGGUGGGUUAGCUCAUUUUUCCUUUAUUUUCACGUUGAACAUAUACGUUUUCGUUUUUUGUUCAUCGUCAACAAUAAUUUACAUCAUAUUGACACUUUUUAGACGUUGUUCCUAAGUACCAUGGCUACCACAAAGAACCAACGUCGUUGCCAACGACAACAAUUAGGACUAUUUUGGACGAUGGUCAUUCAAGCAAUUAUAAUAUAAAAUACCAUCAGGUGUCGUAAUUGACAACUCCCUAGAGCCCCAAAUAGAAACUGGGACUCUGAAAGAGAAAUGACACUUAUACGGAUGUUUGGUACGAGUGAUAGAAUUUGUCAUGAUCUACUGAGGAUGAAGAUAGCUCCGUUUCAAAGAUUAUGUGCUCGUGUACGAACGUAUGGUUUCGUUGACAAUAGAUCUGUCAAAGUAGAGGAACAAGUGGCUAUAUUUCUCAACACCGUUGGACAUGACCACUGAAUCGAACUGAAAGUUUUACGUUCUUCACGUUUAUUCAAAUAGUGAGUUACUACUUCCAUAGAGUUUUACAGGCCUGCCUUGGAUUGGAUAGAGACAUUGUGAACAAUGCCACUAUUCAUAACUCACCAUAUAAGAAGGAUAAGGUGAAGUCAUGUUCCAAUAUUUUUCAGGUCGGGUGGUACUAUUUAACUUCAUUUAUUUUUCCUUUACUAUCAGUACUUCUUUUGUAACCAAAAUUUUUGAUUUUCAUAUUAGGAUCCUGUGGGGGCAGUUAAUGGUACUCACAUUAGAGGAACAAGCAAUGUAUUGCAAUAGGAAGCAAAUGAUAACUCAGAUUGUUUUAGUCGCUUAUACAUUUGAUAUGAAGUUUACGUAUGUGCUUACUGGUUAGGAGGGAUCCGCCCACGCUUAUCGGUUGUUAAGGAGUGCAACUUUACGACAAGGUCAUGGGUUAACAAUUCCUGUUGGUAAGAUCUACAUCUUGUUCGAUAAUGUGUCUUUCACUUAUUUCAAUAAAGAACGACAACUUAACAACCAUGUGUGGAAUAUGUAUAUUAUCUUGCCAAUGUUGAAUUCCCCAUGGUUCCAGGAUUUCUUACACCCUACCAUAGGACUUGAUACCAUCAUAGUGACCUUGAGGGACAUCGGCCUAAAAGCAAGAAAGAGCUAUUUAAUUUUCGACAUUCAUAACUACGAAAUGUUGUGGAGAGGAUUAUUGUUCUACAUAAAAAAGAUUCGUAUAUCUGAGGCAUCAACCAUACCACGAUAUUAAGACAUAAGCAAGGAUUGUCCUUGCUUGUUGUGCUAGUCACAACUUCGUAAGGAUUUGACGCAGAGGAUCUUUGUAACGAUGACUAUUAUACUAGUGAUGAUGAAAUUGACCCUAGACAUGUUGAUGCACCCGAAGAUGAUACAACAAAUGCUCCUAUAUCUUUCACAGCAGAAGUUGCAUGGUAUAGUAUUAGGGAUACAAUGGCUGAUGACAUGUGGGUCGCUUACCAUCCAAGUCAUGAUGCGAAAAUUGAUUUCGAUUGAAUAUACUAUGUUGUAUUUCGUUAUUCGUGUUUCCCUAUAAUAUUUGGAGAUAAACUUUCUAAUAUUCUUGUCUCAUGCUAAGGUUUCUUCUAUAGUUGCUUUGUUGUAACAUUAUCUUUGAUGCUUGUUCUAUUGUAAUGUUUUCUCAUUUCCAAGGCUAUCUACAUUAGUAUCUAUGAUGUAGCUUCAAAUCUCUUUGCUUGGUUUAUAUUGUUGUUAGAUUGUUUUCAAGCAACACUAUUGUUCCUUCUACGUAUGCUAAUAUUGACAUUUUUCUAUUUUCAAGUGAUUGCGUUGAUGACACAGAAUUGACGAAGCUCUCUGGGCCCUUUUUGAGUUGCCAGAUCGACCACCCCCUUCGAACGGGAAUGACAUUUAUUUUGGUACAUUGCAAGUGGAUCCUAAUGCUAGGACUCGUCACGUACGUCGGAGUGGUGGAAUUGAUGGUUAUAUGAUCACUUCACUUACUGGGAAAGUGUUGGCUGGGCACAAAUGCAGUGACAAUAGCCUUACUUCGUUUCAAGUGUCUACGACAAUUGAGAGGGUUGUCAAUGGAUGCGAGGUCAUGGUCUUAGAUAAAAUGUAAGGGCAAGGUUGAAGACUCUUAAAAAAAAAGCAUGCUGAAGUUUGCCUAUUGCUAAAUAUGAGCGAAUUUGGGUUAGAUCUUGAAAUUGGACGCACUGUAGCCGAUGCCAUUGCUUGGGACGAUUUUAUUAAGGGAAAGCCAGAAUUUGAAAAGUAGAGGACCAAAUUUUGUCCAAGAUAUGAUGAGAUGGAGACUAUCUUCGGCAAUGAUGCUGCCACUGGAGAUCGUACAGUGCCUGGCUUUGACCAUUUCUCCCCAAUGAAUGGAAUGCAAUAUGUUUAGUACGAUACUUUGAUUGUAUUCGUGUAUAAACUUCUUACAAGUUGUUAUAUCUUUUAUAUAGUUACCGAUGAAAGUGUGAAUGAGGUAGAUAUGGAAAAUGUGGAGAUAGAUCAUAGCCUAAUUCAUGCUCGUAAGCGUACCGUCGAAGAAGGGACCAACAAAGCUAAGCGUCGACGUGCACAACCGAUGGAUGAGAGUAUUAUCACCCUAUCGAGGAUUGCCGAUUCAUCUACAAAAAUUGCUUAGGCUAUGGAAAUGCAAACUGCGCUAGAUAUACUAAAUCAUGUCAACUGGCAGUUGAUUCUAGAGAAGCUAGAAGCCAUGAACCUAGACAUGGACGGCAUCAUGCAAGUCAUGAAAGCCUUUUGAUCCGACGAUGGUUUGGCUAAAGCAUCUAUGAAUGUGACCAGUACAAAAUACAUGCGUGCUUUGGUGUUUGACAAGUUUGGUUGUGAUCUGCCUCCACUACCUUAGACUGUACAUGACUUAUAGCAUUAGUAUGUAUCAACUUGUAUGUAUUUGGAAAGCUUAAUCCACAUAAGUAGUACUUUGAAUGUUUUUUGUAAUGCACACACGUAACAAAUACUGUGCAGUGUUUUAUAUCCCUUGGUGUGGAUGUCUUUUGUCAA